rnacentral:rRNA from 1 species
UACGUAGGGAGCAAGCGUUGUCCGGAAUCAUUGGGCGUACAGCGCGCGUAGGUGGCCUCAUAAGUCCGCUGUGAAAGUCAAAGGCUCAACCUUUGAAAGCCGGUGGAUACUGUGAGGCUAGAGUACGGAAGAGGCGAGUGGAAUUCCUGGUGUAGCGGUGGAAUGCGCAGAUAUCAGGAGGAACACCAAUAGCGAAGGCAGCUCGCUGGGACGUUACUGACACUGAGGCGCGAAAGCGUGGGGAGCGAACAGG